rnacentral:lncRNA from 1 species
AUAAAAAAAUUAAAAGAAAAGCGGAUAGUGAAUGAUAUAUAACAUAACAACAAAAGGAAUAGCUUAAUAUAUACUGAUAAUAAUCAUAAGUCUCCAAAAUAACAAACAUAAAUCAAAUCAUAUCAUCACAUCUCCGUGAGCUACAAAGCAUAACUGAUAACUCUCUCUCAUUAUAAAAUUUAUAUGUAAUAAGACUCACUCCCUAAAAGACUAAAAACCCAGUGGAUCCGCCGCUACUAAGCCCACAUAACGUCUAAACAACGCAAAAAAAGAAAAAAAAAUGAAGAAACCACUCUACACACCCAAUAAGCUAGUGACACGUAAUCAGAUAGAGAACCGGCCUCUUAAACCCUGAGAACUGAGCCGAACACCAGAGCGGAAAGGAGAGCGACACCAGCGGCGGCUAAGGAAGGCGAGAUCGAGCCGGCUCCGGAAGCGGGAGCUGGAGCGGGAGAGAGAUCUUGAGCCGACCCUGCGAGAACCAAGGCGGCCAGGACAACGGCCAUCAUCAGCGUAGCCAUUGAAGCCUUUGAGAAUGCCAUUAUUGAAGCCUUUUUUUCUCAGGGUUUUUGAGAGCGUAACCGAAGGAAGCUGAGAGAGAUUCUUUUUCCUGUGUCUGUAUGUGGGAAGUGUUAGUAUUUAAGACAUGAGAAGAAAAUAGUGAGGUUUAUUUAUAGACUGAAAAGUGUGGACGGGAAGAGAGAAUUUCGGGCAGCGGCCCGGAUUUUUCCAGUCUGUCUAUUGGUUUCUUGACAGCUAUGUUUAUUUGUGGGGCCCAGUUAAUUAUAAUUUCACGCGACCGUUUAGGGUAUCGAACGGCGAAGCGACGUCGUGUCGGUUCACGAGUGUGACUUACGCCGAGGAAAUAAUUGAUUCUUUGGGAUUGGGAAAAAUUUGAGCAAAGUAAAAUUACGGAAACAGCAGCGAAUUAUAAUAUCGCAGUCUGUGAUAAACUUGAUAACUAUCUACUUGAAUUGAUAGGACAUAUAAAAAGAACAUUGUAUUAUUUAAAGGAUUGAAUAAUUUAAUUGAUAAAAAUCUCUUACCGCUAAGUUUGGAGAUCCAUUUGCACUCAAAUUUGGUGGAGGAAAAUUUUGAUUUCAGUUGUGUUAUGUUAUUAACAAAAAUUAUUGUUCAAAAAAUGCCUUUUUGUAGCUGCAAUAAAUGAGAAAAUUUUAAAGUACUUUUUUUUUAUUAUUUAUAUAAAUUGAACGAAAUCUUGGUGUGAUUAUUUUGUAAAUUCUCGAGAACUUUUGGGGUGGGGUGGGGGAUUUUGUGUAUGAAUGUAUGAUGAGUUCAUUGAAGAGGCGAAUGUUUAAUGGUGGGAUUGAUGAUUAGGGAUCAGUGAUGGUGCAGUUGAUUCCGCUACAAAGAUUUUUGUAAGCGCCCACAGACAGCCCACGUGGGAUGCGGUGGCUCGACCAUUAGGAGGAGGACGCGUGGAGACGUGGAAGGGCACGGGCUUUUUUAAUAUUCGAAUUUUGAAUUUGAAUAAUCGGAUGUGGACCUGUGGACAGUAUGAAAUGAUCGUGAAUUUUGUGGGUUUCCAGAACUUUCCGUUUGGCGUGUGCGACUGUGUGUUCAUUGGCAGGCACAUGUAGGAGUGUUACGAAGUUUACGCGUUAAACGUAUGCGGAAAGAAAAUGGUUUAACUUUGGGUAAAUGUUUAAAAAAGGAAAUUUCAAUCAACGCUUCUUCUUCUUCUUCUUUUUUUUUUUUUUAUUCCAUAAAAGAAGAUCUUUAAUUUCUGUAAUUAUAUCAUAAUUGAGUCCAAGAAGAUCUGGCUGCAUUGUUGUAAUUUUAUUUAGUUAACCAUAUAAAUUUGAGUCCCGAAGUUAAAAACUUAAUUUUAAUUUUAACUGCUCUUCCAUCUUCUUUUUGUUUUUGUUUUUGUUUUUAAAUGAUCAUGAAACACCUCUUCUCAUUAAUUAAUGUAGAAAAAAAAAGGUUUCAACCACUCCUACGUAUAUUAGCAUGAUUUCUUUUUUAAAUAUUAUUUGAUUGGUAUCAUUGCAAAGUUAAUUUAGAUUCAGUAGUUUAUUUUGGCUAAAACAUCAUAUAUUUAAGAUGCAUCAUCAGAAAAUUGAUUUAGAGUCACCUAAUUUUGAGCUCAAAUAUUAUAUAUUUGCACUCACAAUCAUAUAAUUGGUUUAGAUUUAAUCUGUUUUAAGCUCAAAUAUGUAGCUAUCACAUAAAUAAUUUAGAAUGUUACAAUAUUCUAAGGGCGUGGUCGGGUUAAUUAUAGUGCAGUUGUAGCCUCUACCAAAAUCCGGGUUCGAUUCUUAGAGAUCAAGAUUAUGUUUAGGCUCGCCCACCUCCUCUUACUUUAAAAAAAAAAAAUUUAGAAGGUUACUAAUAUUUUUUUAAUUAUAAAUAUCAAUAUAUAUUGUAAUGUAAUAUUCUUUUUUUUUUUAAAAAAAAAAGGUCAGGUAGAAUUGAUCUCCCUCAUACCAAAUUUUGUAAAAAAUAAUUUAGGUUAUGCCGAUUCAUAAGAUGAGGGGUUCAUAUAGUUUAGUUCAGUUGAUAAUUUUUUUUUUUUGGUUGAAAAAAGAGAUAUGAGAUUUAAAAUCAGUUUAGGUGAGCAAGGACGGUUUUGGGUUGUCACCGAGCUAAAUUAAAAAGGAUUAAUGAGAUGAGACGAGUGGUUUGUUAAAAAGAAUAGUGCCACAUAUUAUAAAGUUUGUGUCAAAAAAAUUCAUCCUAUAAAAGAAGAGACACUCCUAAUAGGCAUGAAAAAAAAUACAAUAAAUCGUUUUAAAACAUAACUGUGACUAGAACAUCCCCUUGUGAAGAUAUAUUUUUUAUUUUUUUAAAAAAAAUUAUUUAAAUAUCUCUAAUGUUCAUGCAACAAAUACGAUGAAUAGUCACAAGGGCAGUCUAGAAAAAGGCAUUUACAAAUACACGGCGGGCCAACAAAGAAUCAUUCACCUUCUAAUCCUUCGAUGUCUGCUUGCAACUCAACUAAACUAACAGCAUUCCAAAAUCAGCAAGAAAACGAUUUAAGAACUUAUUUUGGAAUGCUAUUAGUUUUUAAGGAUUAAUGAGAUGAGAUGAGUGGUUUAUUAAAAAGAGUAGUACCACCUACUGUAAAGUUUAUGUCAAAAAAAUCCAUCCAAUAAAAGAAGAGACACUCGUAAUAUGCAUUAAAAAAAAACACACAAUAAAUCAUUUUAAAACAUAACGUGAAUCAAACAUCACCUUAUGAAGAUAUAUAUAUUUAAAUAUCUCAAAUGUUCAUGCAACAAAUGCGAUGAAUAGUCACGAGGGCGGUCGAGAAAAUGCGUUGACAAUUACACGACCGGCCAACAAAAAAAUCAUUCACCUUCUAAUCCUUCAGUGUCUGCUUGCAACUCAACUAAACUGAUAGCAAUUAGCAUACCAAAAUAAGCCAAAAAAAAAAAAAAAAAAGAUUUAAGAAUCUUAUUAUUUUACUCGUUAAUAUUGCUAAGCAUAUGGCAGCCCUGGGCGGCUGUGGAGUGCAGCCUGGCGUUGGAUUUGCUCACAGACAGGACCUGUAAGGCUGAAACAACACGGCAGCAACAAAGAAAGUAGUUUUAUUUACGUAAUACAAUUUUUUAUACCUUUAUUUUUUAUCUGCAUGAUUUAGUUCUUACACAGACGUGCUAACGAGAAUCAUCCAGUAGCUGGUGUCACUUGUCAACUACUCCUUAACUUAAAGAGCAUAUUUGGGAUUGUCAAGUAUUCCCAAAUUAGUGAUUAUUUGAGAAUUUGUUAUCACAUAUGGUUGGUUCGAGUUAUUCUCUCAGACAUAUCACACCAAUAAUCAUCAAAUAAGUGAGAAUCAAACAAAAUUUGAAAGCAAAUUCUCAAGUAAUUGGUUAGAUUGUAUGAAAAUUUGACUUGUGAAUAUCAAGUAACCUCAGAAUUAGAAUGACUGUAAUGUAUACAUUGGCAUUUACUAUUUACUAAUCACCAAUCAUAGCUUUCUAUUUGGCUCAAUGGCUGAGUGCAAAUCCAGAUGAGCAUGAAAUUCAAAUCAACUCAAAAACCGUUAGAGAAAACAAAAUAUCUUUGAAGUAGUUAUCACUUCAUUAUUAUCAGUAGGAUGAAAAUGAUCGAAGUUAAAAACGUCCAAAAUUAUUAAAUUCAUUUAUCUAACCUGAAUAAUGGACACAUAUACCACGUUGGCUGUCAUUCCUCUGUACAUACAAGAAUCUCACUGUAUCAUCAAAGAGGCUAAUCCUAUGUAACAGUCCUCUCAAUUCGUAUUAUGCAACACGUCUAUCCGAAAAGCUCCUAAUCAUCUUUCUUCCUCGGCUAUUACCAUUCAUUCAAAAGUCAACUCAAAAGGUAGACAAAUUUAUUUGUUAAAAGCCCAAAACUUUAGAUGAUAUAUUCAUCAGAGGUUGUAAAGCACUCGGUGCAAAUUUUCUUCCAAAGAGAAAGCAAACUGUAGAGGGCUGGUUAUUGUAUUUGCAAUGCUGACCUCCAUAAACUUUCUUGAAAAACUCCUCUGUUAUGUCGGCUCUUCCGAAUGUGGCUGGAUGAGCACCACCUCUCGACCAAUCAACCCAAGUGCUGCUUCUAUUUGCCAAGAGAUUUGGCAUUUGAAUAGAUAGCAUGGUGGGAAAAUAGUGUUCGUCCACAUAACAAGGUGGUCUACAGAAUUCCGCGAAUUUUGGAUAAUAUGUAGUAUCUUCCACAAUGUUGACUGCAAGCCUUCGGUUGAUUUCAAACCAUUGGGAUCCUUUGCGCCACUGGGUAAUGUUCACCACAGGUGCCAUGUUCGCAUUGUAGCGUCCUCUCCCAUAUGGUCCAGGGUCAUCAAAUGAACCCAUGAAACUAUGUUUGGAUUUCUUUAUGUAAUGGUAGAUGAGGGAGAAAUUAUAAAGAGGAAUGCAAGACUCAGAGACAAGAAUGAACCAUUCAUUGGAGAUAUCAAGCAAUGCAUUAGCAAGGAGUCUUCUCUCAGCAUCGCACAUGCUCAUUUUUCCCCAUUCAGAGAUCUGCAAAGGGAAGAUACAGAAGACAUUACAAUCUCCUCUAAAUUUUGGGAAAUAUUGUAUUCAAAGCUAUGUGCUAAAGUAAAUAGAAUAAGCAGAUAAAGCAUAACCAUCAAAGGCUUUCAGAAGAAUGCAAGACAGUUCCACUACCAAACACUUCACCUAGAACAUGUAAUGAUAACAUUUGGUAAAGGUAAUCAUAAAACCUGUUAUUUUCCAGGAUCAAAGGGUAUCAAGUAUCAAUUUUACAUUUGGGACAGGAUUAUGGUAGCUGCUUGUUGUUGAAAUGGCACUGUAGCAGAGCUAACCAAAUCAGAUCUCCAUUUCUUGGAGGAUUUGUAUCCUGUUCCAGUUACUACAAGGGGGCAACUCAAGAACAUACAUGUCUUCCUACUUGUCCAAUACAAAAACGUAGGGAGAAAAAAAAAAUCAAAUAAAACGCACUUCGUCGAGCCAAUAUACAUACAGACAGCUCAACCCUCCCCCUUGGUGUUUUGGGAUCCAAAAUUUUUCACCUCCACACGAUAUAUGGCAGUGGUUACCAGCCUUAGAUAAACUUACACUGUUGCAGUUCCCAACUUUCAAAAUUCAACCCAAAAAAUGACCGACUCUUAUUGUUGAUCAUUCACUCAAACCCAGUUUUGCUGGUGAAAGUUAUAAUGUAUGCCAUCAAAUUAAUUAGAAAAUGUUUGCCAAGUAACAUUCAAGAAUGCCACCAUGUCAUCUAUGGAUUGUCCGCUCCUGCUAGAUUCCUCGCAAUUUCUCAUGGACUCCAAUAAUCCGUAAGGCAAUCAGGGGAAAAAAAAAGGAGCAAAAUUUUAACUUGGCUAAGCAAAAACAGAAUAUAUUUAGUUUAUAAACAGAAUCUGUUAAUCAGCAUAUUCCUAUUCAACAGAGUAUUUCUAGACUUUGAUCGUGAAUCACCAUGCAUAUAAAAGUGAUGAUGCUAAAUGGGAACACUACUUUCUACUUUCAAACACCAAGAGCCUACAGAUGACUGAGAGGUCCUAAGAACUGAAGAUUGUUAAACAAAAUUCGGAAAGCUAUGCAAGCAUGCUAACACUAUAUAGAUCCUCAAAAGAAUAAUUCACAUUAUAGGUAAAAAAUAAAGUACUGCUCAUCAUCACUCAAGAGAAGAAGAUCAUAACUUACAUCGUCAUAUAAUCAAUAGUACAACAAAGAUGAUCAGAUGAAGUUUCCACCAGAAUUUUAAAUGAAUAAAUAAAACCUGCAAUAGAUAGAUAUAAUGUCAGGCAUACCUGACUUGGGAUUUGUCUGUUGUAAAAAACUGAUGAAGAUGGAAACUUGUUCUCGAAUGUUGGCAGAGAAUGAACAUAGAUAGAAUAUAGCCCUUCAUGCCCCUUGAAAAACUUCUCCCAAAGAGGUCCAAGAGGUAAUGGCCCCUUCGUCAAGAACAUAAAUGCAAUCUUUGGAACUCUCUUAAAGGGAUACUCCUUCACUCGAGGCACAAAUGAGGCCCUCCAAAAAAGCUCCUUAUCACUCAUUGUGUGCAUUAAAUUUGAUGGAGGAUUUAUCCAAUAAUCCAAACCAUUCGGUAGUUCAGGGCAUGCCACAAAACUGGACUUAACCGUUGUCACAACACUCUGGACUCCAAACCGACGAACUGAGUAUAUACUAAUCAACGAAAAGGCUAUACACAGAGCCAGAAACAAACCAAAUAACUGAAAUAAUCUCAGUGGCAAGGCCCUAAAUUGAUUUGUCUUGUUAACAACUGCAGGGUCUUUGCCUUCCUCUAGCGGAACAACCCUUGCUUGCAUCUUUAUAACUCUAAAUCAAAUCAAAAUUUCACCUUCUGCGUCAGAUCCAAAUCAACAUCCUAGCAUCAAAAGCACUACUAAGCCUCAAAAUACCAGCUAAUUUAUUCACCAGAGCUAGCAAAAAAAACAGCUUUUUUUAAAUAUUUGAAAUUUGUGGAAUUCAAUAUGUUUCAGCAAAACAACCCCACUUAGCAACAGUAACGAAAUUAGAUCUAGAGCUGACACUACAGUACUCAAAAAGCAAGUAUUAACAGAUAUAGCACAAUCAUCAGCUUUCACAGCACAUGGGUUUCUUGAAUAAGAAGCUCUUAGCAAAAAUCAAAAGUCCAGAUCGGACUACUUGAUAGUCUAUAGAUCAAACGAAACCAUUAACGUGAUUGGUGGGGUGAUGAAAAACAGUACACGAUGGUGAACGUUCAACAUACCAUGUAAAUUUGUUGGGGCUAUAUGAGGAAACAAAGUUUGAAGCUUUAGCUCGAAUUGCGCCACCAAAGAAGAGAAACAGAACGGUCAAAUAAAUGAACAAAGUUAGGCAAAGAAAAUAAGAGGAGAAAAAGAGAAAAGUCCUUGGGACGCCCAAAGAGAGAGAGAAAAGGAGGUCCAAGAAAGUGGGGAAUCAAGGAAAUUUUGAGUGUGUGUGUAUGUAUGUAUAUAUAUAUAUAUAUAUAUAUAUAUAUAUAUAUAUAUAUAUAUAUAUAUAUAUAUAUAUGGGACUUUGAAUUUGAGGAAAUCACAGAAUUGUAAUUAGGUGAAUUGUGAAAUGUGGAGAAUUCAAAGAAUGUUUUUUGAUUUAACACGUACAGUGGAAGUGUCUGCUUCGUCUUUUGUGGGUUAGCCGUCACCAUGUGAGAGGCGGUUUUUGCAAGGUAAUAAUACGGCAAUGUCUUGCUGUCAUUUUGUAACGUUUUGGAAAACAAAUUUACCCUGAUUCAUUUGCCUUGAUAGAUCCUUUUUUUUUUUUAACCUUUUUUUUUAUAACUUGAAAUAGAAUGAAAUUAGUCAAAAUUUAAAUUUGAAUGAUAUGUAAAUUUUUUUAAAAUUUUUAAAAAUAAAUAUUAAAUUAUUUGUUUUUUAAUUUUAAAAAACUGACAGCCUAUACUUUUACAUUUUUACCCUUACUAAAUUUAAAUGUUGAAUAAAUAAUAUAUUUUUAAAAGAACUUAAAUAUGAUAAUAACAUUAUCUUUUUUUUUAAAAAAGGAUAAUAACAUUAUCUAAAUCAUCUUCAAGUAAAUGAUUUAUGAAAUCAUUCACUUGGCAUAGGGUUGUUCUAACUUAACCAAUGUUUUUUAUUCGAAUCUUGAAAAUGCAGUUGCGUUAAAUACUUAUUGGAAGAGCUUUGACGCCCUAGUGGUCUUACCCAGCUCGAAUUUGAAUUAGUCGAGACCUAAUGUAGUUUCGGAUACCAAAUAGUUUAAUACACGAAAAAAAAAAUUUAUAAAAUUAUAAUAUAAAAAGUUCUUUAAAAUUAUCACAAGUUCACAAUGCUAGUGCGUAAUAUAAGAAAAAACUAACAAGAUACUUGGGAAGUAAAAAAAAAGAAAGAAAAAACUGAACAAAAAUUCUACAAGAAAAGACUGUCAAUGGAAUCAAUUAUGGACUAUCAAAGGCCAUAAAGGAGAUUCAAGAAAUCCUUCGCGUGAAUGUUGUGUCUCAUCAUGAAAAGUAUCUUGCCUUGCCAUCUAUGGUAGGGAAAAACAAAAGACAAUUCUUCAAGUCGAUCAAGCUUCGAGUGCUCAACAAAUUAAAAGGAUGGAAGGCCAGGCUCUUCUCAAGCGGUGGGAAGGAAGUAUUGUUAAAGGCUGUCAUUCAAGCCACUCCUGUUUAUGCUAUGGGCGUUUUCAAGUUGCCAAAAUGCUUAUGCGAGGACCUACAGCGUUGCAUCACAAAUUGUUGGUCGGCCAACUAUGAUGACUCUAAAUGCAUUCACUGGCUUUCUUGGAAGAAUCUUUGCAAGCCAAGGAAGGACGGGGGGCAUGAGAUUUAGAUAUUUAGGUCCUGUUUGUGAUUGAAGUAUGCUGUUAAAAAAAAUUAUAGUUAUAUUAUAAAAAUUAAUAAUAUGUAGUAAAUAUAAAUUUUAAAUAAUAAUUUUGACAAAAUUAUUAAAGAUAUAAUAGAUUUUAUAUUAUACAAGUGAAAAAUCAUAUCAAUCUAAUUUUUAACUUAUAGCAGUUAGUAUUUACUGAACACUUUAGUGCUGUAGCUUAACCUCAAUCUCAAACGCGCUCUUAAGUUCCUUUAAUUAAGCGCUCUUGGCCAAGCAAUGUUGGGGAAUACUACAAGCACCUGAGUCUCUUUUGGCCAAAGUUCUUAAAGCUAGGUACUUUUCCAACACAAACUUCCUAAGUAGCAAAAUCAAAAGCGGCUCAUCUUUUGUAUGGAAGAGUACUCUAUGGGGCCGUGAAGCUAUCAACACUGGCUCAAGAUGGAGGGUUGGCGCUGGUAGGAGCAUAUUUAUUUAUAGAGAUAAUUGGAUGCCAAGUCCAUUAUCUUUUAAACCUAUAUCCCUGAAGACAUGCAUUGCCGAGUGAUUCUAAAGUUUCAGACCUGUUAAUAAAUGGUAACGAAUGGAAUGAGCAGCUAAUAAAGUAAUUCUUAAAAGGAGUCCCCUUGCCACGAGUCCCUACUAAUGACAUUUUAGUGUGGCGUUAUGAAAAAAAGGAGGAUUUUACACAGUUAAGAGUGGUUAUCAAGUGUCCCUUAUUCUCACUCAUCCUAAUUCCCCUUCAAGUUCAUUUGGCUCCGCUAAUUGGUGGUAUCCCUCUUGGCUUUUAACCAUUCCAUCUAAAGUCAAGAUCUUUUUCUGAAGAGCUCUACGCAAUAUACUCCCUACAUCAAAUAAUCUUUUUCAACGAAGGGUAGUGGAUUCCCCACAUUGUCAACGAUGUUACAGUGCUGUUGAGGACACCUUUCAUGUGCUAGUUAGCUGUAAGUUUGCGAUGAAGGUGUGGAAGUUGUCAACUAUGGCUGCUCACGUCACGAAUAGCCCUAAUAUGGAUUUUGCAUUUUUUUUGCUAAGAAUUUGGAAUCUUCGCUGUCAAAAGAGGACUACUAAUCUUUUGUGAUGAUUGCAUGGUCUAUUUGGCACUCUAGGAACAUAGCGCUCUAUCAACAUCAGAUGAUGGAUCCACAAAAUAUUCUUUGUGGCUGAAGCUGUUUUGAAUUCGACACUGCUACUCAAGGCUCCCCAAUUCAAGAGCUAUCGGUCUGUCCAACCGAGACGGAUGUUGGUUGGAUUCCACCAGAGACUCAUUGGUACAAAAUGAACGUUGAUGCAAACACUGACAUCUCUAAUGGAAUUACAAGUUUGGGUGCAAUAAAAAGAAAUUCCAAGGGAGAUUUCAUGGCUGCCUCAGCUCGCAAGAAAUCUUUUCUUGGUGACGUUGAGAUUACAGAUGCUGAGGUUGUCCUACAAUGCAUCAAGCUGGCGACAGAUUCGGACUUCUCUCCCUUGAUUGUCGAAUCUGACUCGGCAAAUGUUGUUCUUGUUGCAAAAAUAGUAUAUCGAUAUGCUACUUCGAUGGCACAUUUUGAGUGGGUUCCACGUAGCGAAUGUGGAAAAUCUUGUGAGGUUUGGAUUCUACUCCAUGAAAACUUCGAAAGUGUAUAUUUAUGUACUUAAAAUGGUGCUUGGCUGAAUGACAAAUUGUCUCUCAAAGUGCACUCUUGAAGUUGAAAAUUUGAAAGGAAAUGAGUUUUAUCCCACAAGGGAAAAUAAGUCAAGGGAUUUGUGUUUAUAUAUACACUUACCCAUGCAUGAGUAAGAAUUAUAAGGAUAGAGGUUUUCUCCACACGCGCAUGCGCCGGGGGAGGGGGUGUUGUAAAUUCUAGACUUAUUUGGUUAAAUUUGUGUGCGUCCGUGCGUCCUGCGCACGCGAAUAUCAGUCCAAAAUCACCCAAACUUGCAUGUCAAACAAGUUUUUAGAAAUUGUAAUACGCCCAUUAAUUAGCGAAAUUGACACUCUCUGUUAUUAACGAUCUUUGUUUGGUUGGAAGACCCUCUCGCAGACAUUGUGGUACACAUGUAAACUUUGUAUUUGUCCAGCAAGGAAAUGUUUUAAAAAAAAUAAAAAUUGUCGACUAUCAAAGGAACCGAUUCACUCUUAAACUUACAGUACACAAUAUUACAUGCCAAAUUAUGACUAAUUAUGCCUAAUGCAUUAAUAUCCUUUCACAACGGUGAAAUCUGAAGGCCCAAAAAUAUUGUCACUUGUUCAAGCCAAAAUAUUGAGGCCAGAUAAGCACCCUAAGGUCAAUAAAUAAUUAACGAAAUCAUACUAGCUUUCUAAUAAAAUCUAUCGAAAGUAAUAUAAAUUGAAAAAUGAUGGAGCACUUUUUAACCCUAAAGGCCUAAACUCAAAUUCACACCUUUAAGAAUGAAUUAAAAUCUAAUUAAAAAAAAGAUUUUAUAAAAAAAGAUUAUAUAAGGAUGAGUUUAUUAGUUGUACAUGGGUGACUUUUUUGAUAAAUAUAGAAAAUAAAUAAUUAAAUAGAGAUAUUUUUGACAUUAGAAUUUUAGUCGGUUUAUGCAGAAUUUUUAAUUUAGUAAAACGUAAAAAAAGAGGCUUAUUUUAUUCCAUCAAAAUUAUCUAAAAACCUCAUUAAAUCAUAAAAAUAACCAUCUUUAAUUGACUUAAUUAAUUAAGUUGUCAUUUAAUUAGAAAAAGAUACACCCCUUAGUUUUUAAUUCAAUUCGUAAUUAAACAGGAUACGUCUCUGUCAUUUGUGCACAAUUAAUAACAAUGCUUAUCCAGAAUCCUUUUAAUCGGCCUUUAAAUUGAAUAAGAAGAUGUUUGGAAGAAUUUUUUUAUCUCUAUCAUAAAUUGUGAGCAAGAAGAGAGGGCAUAUAACAACUAAGAGAAAAUAAGUACAAAGCACGAAAACCAGCUCUGCACUUUUUUCUAGUUCUUUCAGAUUCUGCACUCCGUUUAUUCCCCUCCCAUGUCAUGAAGAGAUGGGUCUUUUUCUCUUCUUCUUUUUUUUUUUUUUCCUAAUAUAAUUUCUAAAAGAAUUUAUGAACAAACAGGUAUUUAUAUGCACAAUUAAUCACGAGUCGCACAAACCAGUGAUUCCUGGCCACGAUCGUGCGAUAUUACGACAUUGCUGAUUUUUUUUCUUUUCUUUUCGUUGUGAGUAAUUAACAUAUAGGGCCCACCAACCACUGCAUCCCGAGAUUGCGUGCCAAAAUCAUGUAAAUUGAUUUUGGAAGUUUCGGAGCUAAGUACGCGUAGCAUUAUUACUGGAGAACAUUCAGCCUUCAAUGCUACGAGAAUUCUCGGGUUGUUGCACAUUGAUUUUGGAAGGUUGGUGCGCAGAAUGCCAUAGAAAAAGCUCACGCAACUCAGGUAAUUAUUUUUCCACGUGGCAGCUACAUGGAAAAUGAACGGGCACAGACUCCUAAAGUGCCACUAAAAUACAGUCGUAAUAGAUUAUACAAGCAAACGAAAGUUUUAAGAAAAAUGAAGUAUCAUUUCCGCAGCCCCUGCACAGAUUAGGGGAACUGCAAAGACAUGCUUUGACAAGAACAAAUCUCGAUUUCAAUCAUUCAGAAUAUUGACAUGCUGCACAAGAAAUUGAAUUCAUAUAUUUUCUGACCAAUGGUGAGUUGCAUCCCAUGGAUGCACUCCAUCAGCAGAACUGUCAACACACCAUGAUAUUUGUAUCCAGAAGACAAACUUUCCUAAAAAACACAACAUCAUUUAGCGAGCCAUUAAUCAGUUGACUGCUGUUAUGACAGCACUUUAUGCACGUAAUCAGAAGUAGACAUAUUUCGUCAAGCAACUCCCAUACAUUGCAUACUACAUGUAAUCCAGUCAAAUGUUUCUACCUCAUUCACAAGGAACAGUUAGGGCGUAUGUACCAAGAGAAGAGCUUUACUUCAGUGCUUCACCACUUCAAACUUGAAGCGGAGGUUGGAAAUCAUAACCGGGCACUCUCCUUUCUCAUCGUACUCGGCAUAGUCCCCUCCUGACAAGUCAAUGUCUUCAUACUGAGUCCCAGCAAGCUACACAAACAACUUACAGUUAGUUCGACAAAGCAAAACCAGAACAAAUAGAAUUUCUUUUUUUGGGGUCAUAGAGAAUUUUUCCUCAUAUUAAUCUCAGAUUAACGAGAUUAAUUUGACUCAUCAUCAUCGCACAAAUAAAAGAUGGCUUUAGUAACAACAAAUGUCUAUGAGGAUAGAAGCAAAAUGUGCAACAAGAAAAAGCAUCAACAGUAAUUAGAAGAAGAUAUAUUGAUGAUGAAUCUUCUUAGCUGCGGCAAAACAUUAACCCAAAAAGUACCAAGUGCAUUUACAGCUGUCUGCAUGGGAAUGAGAUAGUUAGGAGCACAGUAGAAAAAGAGGAGAAACAUGUGUAAUGCAUUCGCCUGUUCUUAUCGAAUGAAUGCAAGUUACACUUCAUCCAGCUCAUCUUUAAUACAGUUAGUAAGCAAAUAGAAUCUUCAAACAAGGUUUCCAUUCCAAAGUCUGCCCACCCUUCGCCAUUCAAGUCAAGAGUAAGCCGAUAGGAGACUGAGAGAGCAAAAAUCUAUUGUCAUGCUCUCCACCUAAAUAGAGAGGCAGAAACCAUAAAGGCUAAACUAGAGCAAAUAAUCAAACAAUAUGCUAACACAUUAAAGAAAAAGCUGGAAAGAAUUUGUAAACUAAAGAGCUCAAUGUUGAAAAUAUUCACAACCGUGAAAUGCAUAAAAAAGGAUAAGAUGUAUCUUAAAUGAAGAUGGUCAUGCAUAAUCAUAAAUACGAACACUCAACUUGCGCUCUGAUAACACAAUGCAGUGCUCACAAGUCAUUUCCAUCCACCACUUGAAAUAUGUCUAAUGUUUAGUGUUCAAAAACUAUGGGGAAAGGGCAAGAAUAGAAACUUACAGAUUCAACUUUCCAUCCAACACCAAAGACGAAAUCCACAGGCUCAUAACCCCUGCAGUCGAAUAACAUCAAGGGGCUAAAACCCCCAGAUUGAGCAGCUUCCUGGGUCAGUGGUUUACCCCGGCCUGGGAUCAUAGUAACAGUUCCUUCUCUCCCACAAAAUUUGCACUGUGAAGAAAGAUAUGGAGCCAGAAAAUCACCAACAACCAGAACACAGUCAUUUUAUAAAUAGAGUGAAAAAGUUUCAUCUGUAAUAUGUCACAGCAACACUUGAAAAUACAGACAAUAUGUCACGGUCAUUUAUACUACAAGUCUCUAACAGAUUAAUCUACCCAAGAAACUUGAAAAUAUGCAAGAAAUCCAUAGUACCAGAUCCUCAUUCCCACACCUUCAAAGUAAUUACUCAAGCUCAACCAAAGAAACUUAAUAAUUCUUUUUCCAUUCUAAAUCCAAGGCAUCAAAAAGCAUAUAUAGGUCAUUGAACAGAAAAAAAAUACAAUUUAUACUAGAAGUCCCAAGAAAAACUAUAUCUUGAAAGCUUGUCGCAUGCAAGCAAUUUUUACAAGAUAUCAAAAGAGCUGAAGAAUUACAUUCAAAUCAUAAAAAGAAAAGCUCUGAAGUUCACAAAGAAUCAUGAGGAUACAUUAUAGAGUUAUGUUCUAUCAUGAUUCCAUGAACUCGUUCACAACAACAGUAACAGAAAGGCCUUGGUUUUAAGUCCAAGAAAUUGAUUUGUUACACUAUGCUACUGCUAAACAUCUCCAGUUUGACUACAAACAAUAAUAUACAUCUAAGCUCAAAUGGCACCAAUUUUAACUAGCUUGAUGAAUAUAUAUAUUCAAUUAGGGAUCUCUGGUUGUAUUAAAGUUGGGAAUAAGCUAACAGACAAAAAAAAAACAGACUCCAGUGCAGUGUAUUUUGUUCCGUAUUGUGUUGAAAUUUGUGUUUUCUGUCAUUUAACUUAUCCCUAACGUUAAUAUGAUCAGGGAUCCCUGAUAGAAAACUCUCUCUCUCUCUCUCUCUCUCUCUCUCUAUAUAUAUAUAUAUAUAUAUAUAGAUAUAUGUGUGUGUGUGCGCGCGCAAUAGUGAUGUACUGCAACCUAUUUUAAUCUCCACUGCAAGUGUAUAUUACUUGAAACAAUUUACAUUAGCAAUAUCUGGUACAAGUAUCAUGACUACAGACCAUCUAAUUGCAUCAUUUAUCUAAAGAUAAAUGAUUAAAUGAAAUAUGUAACUUCACUAAACUAAGCCUGAGGUACCAGUAUAACAGCUUUUCCUUCACAGUUUGAUCAUUUGGUUAGAGCAUAUAUCUAUUUAAAGUCCUCGCAAUAAGACAAACAAGAUCACUCACAUUUUAAUACAUACACAAAGAGAGGAAGAGAGAGAGGUAUUACUUUUUGAAUGAGAUUUGUGGUUCCCUUGCCUCCUUGAGUAGGAAGAGUUUCAGCCAAGCUC